rnacentral:SRP_RNA from 1 species
GCCGGGCGUGGUGGCGCACACCUGUAAUCCCAGCUACUCAGGAGGCUGAGGCAGGAGAAUCGCUUGAACCCAGGAGGCGGAGGUUGCAGUCAGCAGAGAUCGCGCCACUACACUCUAGCCUGGGUGACAGAGUGAGACUCUGUCUCAA